CCUACGGGUGGCUGCAGUGAGGAAUAUUGGUCAAUGGGCGCGAGCCUGAACCAGCCCAGUAGCGUGAAGGAUGACUGCCCUACGGGUUGUAAACUUCUUUUAUACAGGAAUAAAGUGAGGCACGUGUGCCUUUUUGUAUGUACUUUAUGAAUAAGGAUCGGCUAACUCCGUGCCAGCAGCCGCGGUAAUACGGAGGAUCCGAGCGUUAUCCGGAUUUCUUGGGUUUAAAGGGAGCGUAGAUGGGUUGUUAAGUCAGUUGUGAAAGUUUGCGGCUCAACCGUAAAAUUGCAAUGGAUACUGGCAGUCUUGAGUACAGUUGAGGUAGGCGGAAUUCGUGGUGUAGCGGUGAAAUGCUUAGAUAUCACGAAGAACCCCGAUUGCGAAGGCAGCUUACUAAACUGUGACUGACAUUGAUGCUCGAAAGUGUGGGUAUCAAACAGGAGUAGAUACCCCAGUAGUC
rnacentral:rRNA from 1 species